GCUACGUGAGGCGCAUUAGGUGAUUACCCAUGUGAGCUCGUGCUUGGCUCAGAGCCGCUAUUGUCUGUAAAAUAUCUAACUACACUGCUAACGCUGUACAUACAGCUCACUCAUGCCCAGAAAGAGAGUAAAGCCAUGUCGAAACUCUAAAAUUCCUCGAGUGUUUUUCCAGCUACCUGCCACUCACCCACCAACUCCCCUCGGACUUCAAUUAGAACCUGAUAAUUGGCGUCACAAACAGGAUCCUGAGAUUUAGAAGCGGUGAUGCCCCUCUUGUGGCAACAUUUGGCAGCAUGUGGUUGGGCUGUCAAUGAAUCCAAGGUCCAAGGGCCUGGAUUAUCUGCCAGAUUCUUGGGAGUUAUCUGGUUGGGUUAACAUGCUCCAACUGCAUCAUGAACUGGGCCCACACGUAGGCUGAGGUGACCAAUAUUUCCAACUGUUGGCUCUGCACCACUCUUCCAGCAGCAGUUGUGGACAGCUUGCCUUGGCACAUGCAUUCAGUGUCUGCAGAGAACUGGACAUGGCUGGAGACUUGGGGUCCCAUGGCUGACACCUGGAACGCAAUGCAGCAAGCUUUGGACAAAAGACACUGCAAGACCCAUGGCACACACACCCCUGGCUGGCCUGUAGUGUUUAUGAUGGGUGGGGCUGGCUAGUGGGGGAACAUGUAGUACCCCUAGCCCAGGCACCGCGGUGCAUACAGCAACACUGGGGUAACACCACUGCGGGAUGGGUACCUGUCAUGGCCUGUGUAAACAUAAUACAUGUCACUCCACUGAAGUUAUGGUGGGUAUUCCUGGGCUCUGGCCUAUGCUGGGCCCUAACAGUCAUAAGUAGCAUAACUGGGAUCCUAGUAGUGAGCUAUUGCUCUCUGUAUUGUUGUUUGAGCUAUGGAUUCAGGGCUCCGCCCUAUGGGCAUGUGUCCCUGCCCAGAGGAUGCCCUGAGCCUAGCUGGUGGAGUGUAAGGGAAGUGGCUGUGCUUUACUCAGAAGUAGGCCAAGGCGGCCUUCUAGCGCAGCAUGACUCAGUGGGUUUGGAGCGCAGGCGUACAACCCUGCACAUUAUGUAACCACACCGCAUGAGGCAUAUUAGGUGAUCACCCAUGUGAGCUUGUGCUUGGCUUGGAGGGACUAUUGUCUGUAAAACAUACAAUUACCCUGCUAACGCUGUAUAUAUGGCUCGCUUGUGCCCAGAGAGAGAGUAAAGCCAUGUCAAAACUGUCUACAAUUCCUCUAGUGUUUUUCCAGCUACCUACCACUCACCCACUGACUCCCCUCAGACCUCAGUUAGAACCUGACACCAGGGCACCCAUGUCCUUCUCUUUCCUCAAAUUCAUGGCAGACAUCACUAAUUGGUGCUCUUCCCAACUGAACUCAGACUUAGCCUUAAAAUUUUCAACAUAGUUGCCUGAACAACCUACCACUCAGAAAUGGCACUAGAAAUAAAACUUAUUAGCCAUCCCUGUGCUGGGGCAAUAGUUGUCAAACCAGGUUAUUAUCACAAUUGUCUGGGGGAGAACCUAAAAAUUAUAACUUCUCAGGACCAUUCCAGAAUGUACCAGAAAAGCUACCUUGAAAAUCUCCUAUAAAUCCCUGACACGUAGCGUACAGCACUGUAAUCUGUAGUUCCUCCUCCUUCCUGGGACUUGGACAAAGAGAAUGCAAGCAUACAGCAUGUAUUUUUCAGCUGCACUGGAAGGUGAGCUAGCUGAUUGAGCAAGUAAGGCAAUCUCUAUUUUCUUAUGCAUCAAAUGGUGUAAAUAUAGCAUUUACACCAUUCUGAACACCAAGAGUUCUGAUGUCAGAUUGUCUGGCUUAAAUAUCCCCUUCGUACCUUGGUAACCAUGUGAACUCAGACAAGUUACUGAACUGCUGUUUCUUCACCUGAAAAAGUAUCUGUUUUACAGAAUUGUUAUGAGAUUUAGACAAGAUAAUUCAUGUAAUCUGAAUAGAAGAGCACCUGACAUAAAGUCCUCUAAAAACACAAUAUCUAUCUAAUUUUAUCAUUUUUGUCUAUAAUAUUUAUCUCUCCGAAUUUGUAUGAGCAUUUAAUGAGAAUAUAUGUGAGUAUAUGAGAGGUAUCUGGGCACAUAGUAGGUGCUCAAAGAGUGGUAAGAUUGUUAUUAUUCAAUGUGUUUUAAACAACUUUUACUAAGGGAUACAUAUUUUCUAGUAUGGUAGACAGAGAACAAAAUAUUCCAUUUAAUUAUUAAUGUAUAUGCCAUCACAUAGAACACCCAGAAGAUUGGUGCUAAGGAGGUGGGGGUGGGGUUAGCCAGCUCCUCAUUCAGUUCUAUCGUCUCCCUUCAGACCACCCCUAAUAAACAUAAACUAAGUAAAACAGCUUCAAGACACAUCCCUAAGCCAUCCCUAAACCAUAUGUCAUCCCUUAAACCCCCUCUUCCAAGAUGAUUGCCAUCUCAAAGUCUCUCCAUCGUCCAAUUCCAUGUUUACCCUUGGGGGCAACUGAGAGCACUGUAAAAAG
rnacentral:lncRNA from 1 species